rnacentral:tRNA from 1 species
GGAGCGUUAGUCCAAAAUAAGACCUUUGAUUUCGGCUCAGAAAAUCGUGGUUAAAGCCCACGACCUCCUU